ACGGAGGAAAGAAGGAAGCGAAGGGAAGUCUGCUGAGAUGGAUAAUAAGGUAUUUUCUGUGGAGGACAUUGCAGAGACGUACUGGAAUCCUCACUCUCCACCAUUAACGAAUGAAGAAGAAGCAGAGAAAAUUAGGGUUUCGAAUAUGAACAGGAGUGCCUCAGAAUGGGCGUUUCAGAGGUUCCUGGAAGAGGCCUCUGCAACUUCUUCUUCGCAUAACAACAAAAGACAAGAGGACGAAGUUGUUGAGAUCGAGAAUCCACCUCCAUUGUUGAAUGAGGCGCAAUCGAAUGAAAAUCCUAUUCCCAUGGGCUCUCAGGAUCAUCAGGCAAUUCUCAAGCAGAGGCUUGACCUUCUUUGUGCAGCUGUUGCUCUAACUCGGUCAUCAGCUAUCAAGUCACAAGAUUGUCCUCUUUUGGCAGAAAGUGGAGUACAGGGUUCUGAUGCUCCACAAUUGGGUUUUCUUUCAUCUGGUAAAGGGCAUGUAUAUAACUUUCCGAGGACUCAAGAUCAAUCUGUUGCUGGCCCUAUAGGAAUUCCUGCCUUGCCUGCUGUUACAAAGAAUGUGGGGGCUCAGGUAAGAGCAACUACAAGUGGGUCUUCAAGAGAACAAUCAGAUGAUGAUGAUGUUGAAGUUGACACAGAACUAAAUGAACCAGUGGAUCCUUCUGAUGUAAAACGUGUAAGAAGGAUGAUUUCCAAUCGGGAGUCAGCACGGCGCUCUAGAAGAAGAAAGCAAGCACAUCUGAGUGAGCUUGAGACACAGGUUGCUCAGUUGAGAGUUGAGAAUUCAUCUUUAUUGAAGCGUCUCUCAGACAUUAGUCAAAAGUAUAAUGAAGCUGCUGUUGACAACAGAAUCCUGAAAGCAGAUGUCGAAACCCUGAGAGCAAAGGUCAAAGCCAGCAAGUGCACUCUUUCAAGGUCGAAGGGGUUCGACUCCUCUCAGUUGUGGGCACUUCAUAAUUGUGCUUACCAAAGCAUUUAGCCUGAGUACUAUACGUAUGAUCAUGGGGGAUCAUGCAAGGACUUGUUUUUUUUUGGUGAGUGAUGGCUUGUUUGUAUGUAUAUAUUCCCAAACUUUCUGCAUAUUGUAUGUAUUACAAAAAGAAAGUUUGCGAAUUCACAAAUUUUAGGACCAAACCUCACUUCAAAACUGCUGUUAUAUUUCUUAUGCACCACGUGGUCUUCAAACCAAAAAGGUCCGCACCAAAUAACCAGCACCUCUAUUAUUGCUUUGGAGGGGCAGCCGGUUUUCCAAAUCCUAGUGAACUCUUGGGUGCGCACUAUGUAUUUUGUCCCUCAUAUAGAACACUUGAAGAUUGGAUAUUAAACUUUUCUGUCAUAGUUAUGAAGAAAAUCAAUUUUAUUUAUAUUUUCAGAAAUUUCUUAAAUAUGUAUUUCAUAAACAAAUGCAUAAACCAGCAGAACCAAAGCAUAAAGCUUUUGCAAAACUUUUUGAACUCUGUGCUCCCACAAACAUGUACUGUGAGCUGGCUACCUCAAAUAAUUUUUGAAAAUAUUUUAAAAUUUGCAAUGCAUUAUACAACUUAUUUUAUGAAGGAAGUUAAAUCUUAUUAUUUAGAACAAAUUUUUACCUAAUAGAUCAUAUACACAAUAUGUACUGAUGGAAAACAAAUUUAUAUAUAUAAAAGAAAGCUCAUACGCAUAUAAGAAGCAAACAGCUGAAGCCGCAAAGGUCUACUUGGGAGAUGUGUGUUCCCGAGUGUAAGUGGUGCUUUACUUAUAAAGAUAUAUACAAGAAGUAGAUUAUCUUGACCUCAUCACGAAUAGGGAACUCAAGGUAUUAUAUUAAACGAUAUAGAAAUUCACUAUAUUAUAGAUUCCAAGGAAAGAAAUUCUUUAAGCUAUCCAAUUUGAUAUCUAAUGAGUGGGAAUGAUUAUGACCUCUAUGUAUAAAAGGAUAAAUGGUUUCUUUGUAGACAAUCCCUUAUGUUAUUUGUAGGCUUGUGCUCGUGCGUGGUUGUUUAUUCCAUGAUUAAGCUUGUUCAUGGGUUUGUGUAAGUAAGCAAAGCUCAAGCUUACAUUCCCUUCAGCCAGCCAAGCUCAUGCUUGGUGUUUGCAAGCCAUGCUUGAACAUUCCCAAGCUUGACUCGGCUUGAAGACACCCCCAUUGUAAACUAUCCGACCCAUAUGAGUAAUAGUUCCAAGAAUUGGCACAUCAUAUACAUACUGUGUCAAAAAGAAAAAAAGAAGAUGAAAAACACCCAAACAUGCACAUGAUUACUUACAAUGGGAGACCAAAUGGGUCUGUCAUUGUCCAAUGAAAUGAUGGAUAUUCAUGAAGAGUUGGUGGGACCCACUAUUUGGAUUGACCAUGUUUUGUCCUCAUGGAUACCACUCACUUACCAUAACUGUCUAUAUUCUUGGUUGGUUGUGGAUCACCCAAAUGAACUACUGUUGAAUAUAAAUGAACAUGCACACAUGCUCAGAGAAAUGGAGGAGAUUUCCGAUGGACAAUGAGAAAACCAUCGUCAAUUGGACCAAUCACCAUUCAAAUGAAAGGAUGGGUGGUAAUGGAGAAAGACUGACCCCUCAUAAGCAGACAUGAACCUAAUGGUGAAGAUGGCUGAGGAUUCUGUUAAGAGGGUGACAGGCGGGGGUGCCUUUGCCCUUACAAUGUCUGAUAUUUCGGGAAUCAGCGCGCA